GCCUUCCACCCUCUCUAUUUCUUCCCUCUUUUCCUAUCCCUGUCCCCCAGGCUCCCUGAUUCCUUUCACCCAUGUGUCUGCUGCUUUCCAUAAUACGGACAUCUUGGUCCAAACAUGAAGUCAAAACUCAGAACUACCCACCUGCCAGCCACUAAUAUUUGGUUAAAACUCCAGAUGGAGAAGCAUAGCCAAGAGGAGGAUGCUGUUGGAAUUCAGAGGUUUGCAACAAGAGGUCUCUGGACUAAGCAAAUAGUAACCAAGAUUAAACCUGCUGAAAGAGGGGCGCCUGGGUGGCUCAGUUGGUUGAGCGACUGCCUUCGGCUCGGAUCAUGAUCCUGG